GAAGAAGAAGAUGAUGAUGAUAAGGAGGAGGAGGAGGAAAGCACACGGGAUUGCAGAAGUACGCUUUUCAUGUGUGGUGGUUCUCGAAGAAGAGGGUGGUCUUUAGGGCAAAUGUUGGACCCUAGAGCCAGAUGGGUUCAAGAAUGGAAUAGGGUCUUUCUUCUUGUGUGCGCCACUGGACUUUUUGUGGACCCUCUCUUUUUCUACGCUCUGUCUGUUAGCGAUACCUGCAUGUGCCUUUUCAUCGACGGGUGGUUUGCUAUCACGGUAACGGCUCUCCGGUGCAUGACUGACGCCUUGCACGUGUGGAACAUGUGGUUGCAGCUCAAAAUGGCCAAGAAACCAUCUAGUGGUGGUGGUGGUAGUGAUGGUACUAGAGGUGGACCACGCUUGAUGACAAGCCCAAGCUCAGUGGCCCUGAAGUACCUCAAGGAAAAGAGAGGAUUUUUCUUUGAUCUGUUUGUUAUUCUCCCCCUACCCCAGAUUGUACUAUGGAUAGCAAUUCCAUCCUUAUUAGAGAAAGGGUCAGUGACUGUAGUGAUGACUAUAUUCUUGAUCAUAUUCCUCUUCCAAUAUCUUCCGAAGAUCUACCACUCGGUUUGCCUUCUUCGUCGCAUGCAGAAUCUCUCUGGCUACAUAUUUGGAACUGUUUGGUGGGGAAUAGCCCUCAACAUGAUUGCAUAUUUUGUUGCCUCCCAUGUAAGUUCACUUUCUUUAAUUCAUUCACGCUACUUACCUCUCUUUUUUCUUAGAUAAUUCUUUUCACUUCACUUCUUCUUGCGCUUAUAUUCCAUAUAUAUUCUGUGUCGUUUUGUCAUUCCUUUAUGGAAUGUUUAUCUAAAGUGAGACCCUGCAAACUGAAGUGCUCGUGGAUAUACAAAAUCCAAACAUUCUGCUUUUUUUCAUUUCCUUUUUCUUUAAAAUAAUUAAAGCCAUUGAUGAUGUAAUUGGAGUCUAAAAAGUCUAAACUUUAUUUCAAUCACAAGGCACAGUAAGGCUGAUCGAUCCUUUUCCUGUGCCUAAGUCUUAUAUUUGAUGACACGCUUCAUACAUAUGUACAUGGGUCCAACAGUUCCCUUGACCGACCAAAAAGAGAAAAGAUUAAUCUCCCCAUACUUUAAAUCUACAAGAACUCAUCGUCGUGAUUCAUGAGAUGGGAAAUAGUAUAUAUUUCAAUUUCUUUAGCCAACUACAGUAGUUCACCUAUCACUUCAAUUGUUUUUCGUGCAUAUAUUCAUUGAGACUCGCAAAGCUAAAAGAAAUUAUCAAAAAGCUAAAAGUUUUUUGUUCUUAUUUGAGGUUUUAGUAAUUAAUUAACCAAAGAAAUUUGUCAUCUUCGGUGCUUCAUGCCAUAAAUAAUCCCUUAAUUAUUUAAUUAAUUAGCGAAUUAAAUUUGUAAAAUUAAUGUGCAUUGGAACAAUUAAACUUGAGAUUAAUAUGAAGGGGGAAAAUCCUUUUGUUUGAAAUACUUGUAAAGCAAAAAUAUUCAGAAGCCAAGUAUUUUUGGCGAUUGAGUUGUAGAUUUUUUUCCAUGUUCUUGAUCUUUAGCUAGCUCUCUCUGGAAACGUUACAGGCAGCAGGUGCAUGUUGGUACUUACUAGGGAUCCAAAGGGCAGCAAAAUGCUUGAAAGAACAAUGCAGAGAAACACAGGGUUGCGGGCUGAGGUUAUUAUCUUGCAGAGAAACUAUUUACUAUGGAACAACAAACAAAGUGAGAGAUGGAGCAAGAUUAGCAUGGGCAGACAACAAGGUAGCAAGGGCUACAUGCUUAGACAGCAGUGAUAAUUAUGAUUAUGGAGCUUAUAAAUGGACUGUUCAACUUGUUACCAAUGAUAGCAGAUUGGAGAAAAUACUUUUUCCUAUCUUUUGGGGUCUAAUGACUCUCAGUACUUUCGGAAACCUGGAGAGCACAACAGAAUGGUUGGAAGUCGUUUUCAACAUCAUUGUUCUCACAAGUGGACUCAUUUUGGUCACCAUGCUGAUUGGAAACAUCAAGGUUUUCUUGCAUGCAACAACAUCAAAGAAGCAAGCAAUGCAGUUGAAAAUGAGGAACAUAGAGUGGUGGAUGAGGAAGAGACACUUGCCUCAAGGAUUCAGGCACCGUGUCCGUAACUAUGAGCGGCAGCGCUGGGCAGCAAUGCGCGGAGUCGAUGAAUGUGAAAUGAUCAGGAACCUCCCUGAAGGACUUCGGAGGGACAUCAAGUACCAUCUCUGCCUGGAUUUAGUGAGGCAGGUAAUUUUAUUCAACCAUUUUAGUUUUAAUUUUUAAACAUCUUCAGGCCCUUUUCAGUGCAAUUCCCAUCUCCUGAAAAUUCCAGAUAAAUAACUGAAUAGGCCUGGAGACCUCAUUUCUAUAAAGCCGAAUUACUAAUUUCAUGCCCAGCCCAAUUUUAAUGGAUCUGGAUUUGCAAGCAUCUUGCCUCUGUUCUCCCUAUAAAUUGUGCUUAUCAGAAUACUACAUCUGACUCUGAAAUCUCUACUAUUUUAGGUGCCACUUUUCCAACAUAUGGAUGAUCUGGUCCUUGAGAACAUUUGCGACCGUGUGAAGUCUCUCAUUUUCACAAAGGGAGAAACAGUAAGUUCCAAUAGUGUCACUCAGUUUAGUACAAGAUCUGUUUAUUGCAAGUGUUAGGCAUCUAUAUCCUCGAGUGUUUUGCAGAUAACAAGAGAAGGUGACCCUGUCCAAAGAAUGCUUUUUGUGGUAAGGGGUCAUCUUCAAAGUAGCCAAGUACUGAGAGAUGGAGUCAAGAGUUGCUGCAUGUUAGGUCCUGGGAAUUUCAGUGGAGAUGAGCUCUUGUCAUGGUGCCUAAGAAGACCCUUUAUAGAACGUUUACCGCCAUCCUCAUCAACACUAGUAACUCUGGAGACCACAGAGGCAUUUGGGCUAGAAGCUGAAGAUGUGAAAUAUGUGACACAACAUUUCAGGUACACAUUUGUUAAUGAAAGAGUGAAGAGAAGUGCAAGAUACUAUUCACCAGGAUGGAGAACUUGGGCAGCUGUAGCAAUUCAGUUGGCUUGGAGGAGGUAUAAGCACCGUUUGACGCUUACUUCGUUGUCAUUUAUCAGGCCAAGAAGACCUUUAUCUCGGUGCUCUUCCUUGGGGGAGGAUAGGCUCAGGCUUUAUACAGCUUUGUUAACUUCACCAAAGCCAAAUCAGGAUGAUUUGGACUUCUGAAAGCGACCAAAAGCUAGCCCAUAUAUUUCGAAAAUCAAUACUUUCUUCGUAGAAAAAGCACUUCUCUGAGUAUCACAAUGUGUAAUAUGUUCUUGUAUUGCUCAUUUAAGGGUUGCAAAUUAAUGUAUAAUAUUACUAAUGCUAAUAAUAGUUAUUUAAAGCAAUUCAUUUGGCUUAUAAGGGCUGUCUGUCAGCAAUAAAUUGAAUUCAGCCAGACGUAUACUAAGCAAAGAUUGAAUAAAAGUUGAAUUCGAGUCACCAAGCAUAAUUAGCAUUGGUAUUUGCUGAUAUCUAGAUAUUGGCUUAAUUGGUUAAGCUUAUGGUGCAUGAAUGAGCUCGAGCUUUCUACACAUAAAAACAAACAUAGUCAAAUGUUUGUUUUUUGCUCUAUCAUCGGAAGAUAUUACUAUUCAUUUG
rnacentral:misc_RNA from 1 species